CGAAGCAUUUUCCGGGUUAGCUGCAGCAUCGUGGGCAGCUGGUGCCUUUGUUUGGCGUGGCGAUCGACGAGGGUCAUAUUACCACUCAGCGUGGCUGACCACUGGUCCAGGGGCGGACGGACUGCUCUGCUGGAGGCCCGCUGUCGCGUGGUUGUCUGUCGACUUGCUUUCGCCCGUUUAUUACUCCCGUCCUCCACAGUGAGGUCGCACUGUGGCACAGCUUGAGGGUAUGUACCAUGCUAAAUUCGCUAUACAACUAUUAUUUAGCGUUUCAUGGACAAUUUUUAUUUGUUUGUGCUAAUUUUGUUAUUGUUUUCAGCUACCGAUCCAAGAUCGGCUGCUGCUUUGGCUCGGCUCUGUUUUGUGUGUGUGUUUGCUCCCUCUCACGGGGUUACGUCGUUGGCCAGCCGCCGGAGCUGCGAGCCGCUAACCCGCGGCGAUAAGGACCGGCUCUGUCCCCGCAGGCAGUGCGUGGCCGGACCCCAUACCCCGGAGGCCGGCCCUAUACUAAAGAAGCGCCUGCAGAGUGGGAAUCUGCUUUUAAGUUGUUUAGUCAUUCGAGAGUUGCCUUGAGUUAUUGUUUUGUUUUGUUUGAGCGAAUUGUUAUUGGUUUGUUGUUUUUCAAUUAUAUUUAUUUAGAGAGAUGCACCAGGGGUCAAGUGGCUGGUAGUUUUUAACCUUUCCCUUCCUCUCUCUGGACAGGUGCUGAGGCCCCCGGCAGCAGCCCGGUUUCCUGGUGGUGGUGUUUCCUUCACGUUCCCUUCUUGGUUGGUGUGCAGUGACACGGGUGCAUAGUUUGAGGACUUUUGUUUUUCCCUUUUUUUACUCCCCUGCUGCCACGGUAAGCCCCAGCCCUGUCCGACUGUUGCCCCUCUACCAGCCCUUUUUAAAAACAGUGAUGUGACUUUGCCCUGGUGCU